UUCCAGCAGUCCAAAAUAUUAGUCAAUGCUCGAAAGAGUGAACUAGCUAACUGAAAUCAAUUAAAAUAAUUGAUAACAUAAGGGAAAAUAAUGAUAUUACCUUAUUAUUAGUGUCGUCCAAAACUGGUGCCAGAAGACUCGGUAAGGCCAGAGACACAAACGUUAAUCGUCUUAAUCAGGCGUAAAGGGUUUGUAGGCGGCUUUCAAAUUUACUUAUACCAAUAAAAAAUAAGUAAAGAAUAAAAGCUAGAAUCAAAUAGAGGAUAUAUGAAAGAAUGCUUAGAGUAGGUCUGAUAUCCUUAGAUACUAAGUAGAAUAUUAAAGGCGAAAGCUUUUUUCCAUUAAUGAUUGACGCUCAGAAACGAAGGUGAGGAUAGGAAAUAGGAUUAGAUACCCAGAAUACCCCUCUCUGUCAACGAUGAAUGGUAGUUAUUAGUAAAAAAUUAUUAAUGGCAAUGUUAACACGAUAACCAUUCCGCCUUGUGAGUACAACUGCAAAGUUGAAAACAAAAAAAUUAGUCGGUUUCGGAGCAAACGAAGUGAAGCAUGUUAUUUAAUUCGAUAAUCCGCGCACA
rnacentral:rRNA from 1 species